rnacentral:rRNA from 1 species
GAUGAACGCUGACCGAAUGCUUAACACAUGCAAGUCAUUGGCGAAGCUGCGCUUGCGCAGUCUAGCCAAGGCGGACGGGUGAGUAACGCGUAAGGAACUUGCCCUGCAGACAGGGAUAACAGACGGAAACGACUGAUAACACCUGGUAUUGUCAGGCUGGCGCAUGCCGGCCUGAUGAAAGGAGACGCUGCAGGAGAGCCUUGCGUCCUAUUAGCUAGUUGGUGGGGUAACGGCCCACCAAGGCGAUGAUAGGUAGCCGGCCUGAGAGGGUGAACGGCCACAAGGGGACUGAGAUACGGCCCUUUCUCCUACGGGAGGCAGCAGUGGGGAAUAUUGGACAAUGGGGGCAACCCUGAUCCAGCAAUUCUGUGUGCACGAAGAAGGUUUUCGGAUUGUAAAGUGCUUUCAGCAGGGAAGAAGAAAGUGACGGUACCUGCAGAAGAAGCGACGGCUAAAUACGUG